AACGUAGGAGGCGAGCGUUAUCCGGAUUUACUGGGUGUAAAGCGCGAGCAGGUGGUCGGGUAAGUGGUGCGUGAAAGCGCCCAGGCUCAACCGGGCGAGGACGUGCCAGACUGCCGGGCUAGAGGCAGGUAGAGGCAGAUGGAAUUCCGGGUGUAGUGGUGAAAUGCGUAGAGAUCCGGAGGAACACCAGUGGCGAAGGCGGUCUGCUGGGCCUGACCUGACGCUCAGACGCGAAAGCAUGGGGAGCGAA
rnacentral:rRNA from 1 species